ACACCUCAACUCUCGUGGCUUGCCAACGAUGAGUUUGGACUUUGGGGGUCUUGCUGGCCUGUGGUCGGCUCCUCUCAAAUCGAUCAGCUUCCCAGUGUUUGGUGGCGUCACAGGUGUGAUAACUAUCUACGCUUGCGGCGUUCCCACCAGGUGACCUCCAGUGAUGGGGGCCUCUGGAGCUUACAAAUGUCUCUCCAAGGACAGCCUUUUGAAC
rnacentral:misc_RNA from 1 species